AUCUGGCUCAGGACGAACGCUGGCGGCGUGCUUAACACAUGCAAGUCGAACGGUAAGGCCCCUUCGGGGGUACACGAGUGGCGAACGGGUGAGUAACACGUGGGUAAUCUGCCCUGCACUUCGGGAUAAGCCUGGGAAACUGGGUCUAAUACCGGAUAUGACUUCUGGCCGCAUGGUCUGGGAGUGGAAAGUUUUUUCGGUGCAGGAUGAGUCCGCGGCCUAUCAGCUUGUUGGUGGGGUAAUGGCCUACCAAGGCGACGACGGGUAGCCGGCCUGAGAGGGUGAUCGGCCACACUGGGACUGAGACACGGCCCAGACUCCUACGGGAGGCAGCAGUGGGGAAUAUUGCACAAUGGGCGGAAGCCUGAUGCAGCGACGCCGCGUGGGGGAUGACGGUCUUCGGAUUGUAAACCCCUUUCAGUAGGGACGAAGCGCAAGUGACGGUACCUGCAGAAGAAGCACCGGCUAACUACGUGCCAGCAGCCGCGGUAAUACGUAGGGUGCGAGCGUUGUCCGGAAUUACUGGGCGUAAAGAGCUCGUAGGCGGUUUGUCACGUCGUCUGUGAAAUCCCUCGGCUUAACCGGGGGCGUGCAGGCGAUACGGGCAGACUUGAGUAUACAGGGGAGACUGGAAUUCCUGGUGUAGCGGUGAAAUGCGCAGAUAUCAGGAGGAACACCGGUGGCGAAGGCGGGUCU
rnacentral:rRNA from 1 species